rnacentral:lncRNA from 1 species
CAAACCAAGCUUCGGAGAGAGAUGGACGGCGAAGCGAAGAGGAACAAUGGGUUGCAGAGCCUACUGGAAGCCAUCAACUCAACAGAGGUGAGCUCUCCCUCUCUCUCUUCCACCCAAAAUCUCCAAAGAUUUUCAAAUUUGUUCAUCGCAUUUGCCCCAUUUCCUCCUUUCUUUUGGUCCCUUUUCUUCUGCCCAAGAUUUUGAUAUUAGUACGUUUUGUAGCUCUAGGUCCCUAUUUAAUCCGGUGGAAUCUUGUUUGGAUUAAGAUUUGAGUACGGUCUCGCGUUUUUUUUGAUGUGAUUGAAGUAUUCUGAUUCCCUGAAAAAUUUAGGGCUUCAUUUUCUCAAGGUUUAAGUAUGAUUAGAAACCUCUGAACAAGAAUACAUCGUUUAUGAAGGACCUUUGAUAUGCAUCAAAAUGUUCUUUUUUCUCUGUUUGCACAAUUGGUAUCGGCGCUAUUGAGUCGGAAGGAUAUCAUAUCUUAACUUAAGUUUUAUGAACGGGCGAUAAUCAGAUUUGGUUGGUCCGUCGAUGGGAGAAUCUGAGUUAGCAACUUAGCUAGAUGAAGGAGCAAUCUCUAUAAGCAGGUUUUGAUACACUCCAUUUGUAAAUUGAGGCGAAUGUAUCUCAAGAUUUCAUAUGCCGUAACAAGAGGGGAAAGUCGGGGGAUAAAUAAGAGUUCGAUGUGGCUAGGUUGAAAUAAUGGGGAGUAGAGAUGCAUUACCAAAAUCCAGAUUCAUGCCGUGAAAGAUGGAACAUUGUAAGGCUUUGGGAGAAUUUAGUGCAUCUUGGAUGUCGUUCAUAUUUUCUCUCGGAUAGCUGAGCUGAGGAGAUAAUGUAAGGUAGAUUAAAGAAAAGAGACUUGGUUUAUAAGAUAUGUGAUAAAAAAAAUAUUCUGAAACUAUCGGUAUAAUUUGUUUAGGAGUCUCCUCCCUUCCCUCAAAAUUUCUUCUUCUUCUUACUUGUUUUCUCAGUCCUUUCCCACACAGCGGGUGAUGUGCAUGAGAACAUAAUCCAGUAACCAAGCAGGUCCUUGAUGUUGUGUCCAAUUUAAAGGCAUUCAUGGAUGACAGUUGAAUUUGUGAUCUAGGUGAUUUUAGAUCUUUCUGCUGGCUACAAUAGCAAGCGACCUGUUACAUUAUUUAAAUGAAAAUUACUAAAAAUGGCCAGUGACUUCAGACUUGAAAAAAGUGAACCAUGAAAAGCGACAGUCUAAAACUUCAAAAAGUGCCAACAUUACUCAGGCCAAUAACACUUUCACAACAACCUUAAAGCCAUCAUAUGGUGGAUACAUAUGCCUAACAUCAAGCACCAAACAGUUCACAACAAAAACAGCAAGGAAGAAUCCAAAUCCAAGGACUUCAGACUUCAAGAACAAACCGAAUAUCCCAUUCUCCUAAAUGUCUGUCUAUAUGUGUAUGUGUGUAUGCCACGUUCUGGCUCUUUCCUUGCAAAGCACUUGAAAUAGUUAUAGAAAAAUGAAAACAGAGUCCUGGGAACCUGGGGCUUUUUGUGCGCCUGGGAAUGCUAGGUUAUAUGUACUUUAGGCUCAUGUAAUAAAAUCGUUACUUGCUACAAAGAAAAAAGGGAACAAAGUGAGCAACACUCUGAGGAAACAAUGUAAUCUGAUCAAGGCUAUGCCUAGAUGCUAAUUUAUGGGAGGAAUCUAACUCUAGAAUGAACUUGCUCACUGCUGAAACUCACCGAUACAAAUAUUCCUAUCAAUUGAUGGCAUCCAUGUAAAGAAUACCACUGGCAGGUCCCAAGCGUUCCUUUUGUCAGAUUGAACUAUCCUCUUCUCUCUCUUCUGUCCACAAGGAAAUGAAAGUAGGAGGUCUUCCUCGAACCCUGAAAUUGGGCUUGCAAAACUUCCAACUCUCCUAGAAAUUUGUGAUCGUUACAGAUGUUUGUGUCUGCUAUGGCAUCCAAGUUAAAAAGAAAACCAUGCCUGUCCCAGAUGGUAAUGAAGGAAGGCGAAUUUCUUGAUCAAUGGGAGAUAAACAAAAGGAAGACAAGCAGGAGCAUGCUAAUACUAAAGCACUGUUCAUAUUAAUUCUAGGAUAGUAUCUAGUUGGAUGCUUAAGCUCAGUGCAUGGACAGAACUUAUUUCAUGAUUGAUUGAAAAAUGAGGUGCCUUUGGCUUUUAAGUUGCAUGCAAAACUCUCCAAAAAGGUGAAUAAACUCCACACAUUCAAUUAUCUUAUGGUUUGAUGCUUAAGCUCAGUGCAUGGAGAGAACUUGUUGCUCGAUAGCUUGAAAAAUGAGGUGCCUUUGGCUUUUAAGUUGCACCUAAAAUUCUCUGAAAUGGUGCAUAAACUCCAUACAUUCAAUUAUCUUAUGCUUCUUUUGCAAAUCUCUGUUCUUACUUGCUGUUGUUCCUUUUGUUUUAGUUGUGCCUCAAUCCUAUCAUGAAGUUCCAUCUCAUCUUGGGAGGAAGGUAGUGGAAAAGGACGCAUGCACUAAGGCCCUGUUUGUUUCAGGAAUGGAAGUAUCCCGGAAAAGCAGAGAAGUAGGAAUUUUAAUGAAAGUAGUAAUGACUAUAUUCUACCAUUUUCCUGUAAAAUGUUUUUCCGAACAAAAGUGCCCCCCAGUAACUUCCUUCAUUUCAAGUUAAGGCUUUGGCAUUUCAUGAAAUAAAGCAAAAUAAAACAGAAAGAAGCGGUUUUAUUCAAGGUUGCUUCACUUUCUGCUACAACAAAUAGGGCCUAAGGGUAGGGGUGUUAAUGAGACAGCUCGGCCCUAUGCCCGAGCAAAGCCCAAAAUUCAGAAGGCUGGUCCAGGCAAAAGCAUGCUUGAGGGUCCCAGGGCCACCCCGAUCUGAUAGUGUGUAUCUUCAGUCUAGGCUGGGCUCAAGUCAGGCCCCUGUUCAUUUUAGGCCAUAUCUAAACCCAGAUCCAGCACAGAAACUUUCAGGCUUCAAUCUUUGUGUUCAGGCUAAAAAUCAUCCAGGACAUUUUUUUUGUGCCAGGCUGGUUUAUUUGGCUGCUUGGGCCACCCUGGCCCUUUGACAGCCCUACCUAUCUAAACAGAUUUUGGGCUCAUGGACUUGACAAGUUAAAGGCUCAUUUGAUUCCAAAAGAGUGCACUCAAAUAUUUGGAAUAAACUAAGAUCUGCCCUUUUCUUAGAAAAAAAGAAAAGAAAAGAUCUGACCUUUUCUUGAGUCACCAUGUUUCAUUUUAUUUUUGUCAUCUUAUUUAUUGUUGUUAAUGUAAUUGGCCCUUGUUCAACUUGCCAUGAAAUCUUUUUCCUUAUGAUUUAUAAGAGGUUUUCUAUGUGAAGCAAUCUCCUGUGUAAAUAAGUUAUGAAAGAUGAUUACUUAUGUGGAUUUCAUACAAUUGCGCCAGUCAUUCAAAAUAUGUUUGGAUGACAGCGAUAUAUAUGGCCAUCUAAUAAGUUUAUGUGAAUAAUACAAUUUCCAUAGGCAGUGAUUAAGUGGAAUAAUGCUGAAAGAGAGUGCCUCAAGAUGUUAUUUAAAAUAUUUAUCAGUUGUAUUACUUUGCUCACUCAAAAAUUGGCGUCAUUGUCUACCUAGACGCAAUUUACUCACCAGAGCACUACAAUAGGAUUUAGAAGUUAAACCAAUAGACACUUAUGUUUUCCAAUGCAAAACUUUAAUGUCAAAGGACAGUUCUUUCAAGAUCCAAGCAGAUAUAGAAGGCUCUGGAUGGAACUUAUUUGCAUAACAAUCACUGAGCAGGAUUUGCGGUAAAUGUAUUAAUCUAGCUAAUGCAUGCUACUGGUAUUCUGCAUUAGAGAGGGUGUUGAUACUUUGAUGAACUCUUAGUUACUUGAAAUGUGGCCUUGGUGAGGACCUUAUUUACAUGUGUAAUUGUUGUCUUGACAUUCUAACUUUGAUGUUAAUUGGGUCACGUCUCUAUUAGAGGAGAUAAUAGGCCAUCGCCUGUUUCUAGGAGGUAAUACUGUCACUAGAUGAACUAAGAAACAGAAACACUAUAGCAACUUAAGUGCAAAGCAUGUUAUUACAGGCUGAUGGCUCUGACUGCUUUAGAAUGAUGAGGUAAUCUGCAAGUUGGUGGGUCUUUGGUUCCAAAACCAGGAGAAAUUGUUUUGCAAUAAUGUGCUUGCCUUUGCCUUCUUAAUUUCUACUAGCUCAGUUUUGUUUAAGGCCCCAUUUGGAUUGCUUUUGGAGAGCCAAAAAACACUUCUUGGAGGGCUAAAGGAUUUUUUGGAUGAUUUUAAAUUAUUUGGUAAAAAUUCUGAAGCAACUUUUCUGCUUUCUUCAAAAGCAUAAAAAAGUCUACUAGGAAAAAACUUCAAUUUGGAGCUUUUGGAUAAAAGCUUUACUUGAGAUGCAUAGGAAGCUAUUUUUAUUUUGAUGAAAAUUCCACAGAGACAAAAAUAUCCAGAAUAAUAAAUAUGAUAUGAUAUGAUAUUAUUAUAAUAUUAUAUUAAAAUAAUAGCAUUAUAUUAUUAUAUUAUAAUGAUAUUAUUAUUGUGAUGUAAUAAUAUUAUUAGAAAAUUAUUCUAUUAUUUUAUUAUAUAUUUAAUUUAUUAUCAUUAUUCAAAUAUCAACAUAAAUAAUUUAUGAAUUAAGAAUACUUUAUAAAAAUAGUUUUUGAUGGUACAAAGAGUUAGACAAUCAAAAGCAUUAUUGAAUGUCCUUUAUUGUCAUUUUUUGAUCCUAAAAGCACUUUUUUACUUUGGUUAUCAAACAGAUGUUAAAGUUCCACAGCAUUUCUCAUAUAUGUAAUUAUCAACAGCAAAUAGCUUUUUAUUAAAAGCUCUACUAGUAAAAGCUCUACCGUUUAAACCUUUUUAGACAAAAGAUCUACUAUCAAUAGAAAUGUCAAAUAAGACCUAAAAGCACAUUCUUAGUUUUGUUACUAGACAAAUGUUAAAUUUUCAUAGAACUUCCGAAAUGUAGUUACCAAACAGGAAACACUUUUUAUUAAAAGCUCUACUAGUAGAAGCUCUAGUGCUCAAAGCUCUACUACCUACAAUAAUGCCAAUCAAGGCCUAAGAGACAUAGAUAACCACCAUUUUGCGAAGAAUGUUGCUGUGAACUUUAUAGACCAUGUAAAAUUCUGAUGACUAGGUAUGUGACUUUUUUAUAGAAGCUCAUAGUUGCUACUUGUUGCAGAUCAUGCGUCCCAAAAUAGGCAUGGAAAUAUAUAUGCAUCACAUGAUGGGCUGUGUUGAAUUCUUAAGCAGAAAAAUCAGAUCUGAUGGAUGGUACACUCCGAUUUUCUGAUCCUAAAGUAGUAUACACCUAUUAGAAAUUUGAUUAGAAAAGCUAAUGCUUUGUUGUGUUAACCUGGCAUUUUUGGGGAUAUUCUUGUCUCCCGAUAUUUCAAGUAAAUGGCCGGCCUUCAUAAUGAGGACACUUCAUGGGUUGAUAGCUUAGAGUGUACUGUUUUCCCCUUUUCAUUUUGCUCUUUCUUUUAUGUUUUUUCCCUUUUCAUUUAUUGAUGUCUUAAAUUCUGGCUCCAGUUUUUAUCUCCUUGUUUCAGUCCUGCAUCUUGGAUUCAACUCAUUCAAGUGACCAACAACUUAAUAAGAAACCUUCCUUUUUGGGUUCUUAGUGUUCCAAGAGACCCAAUGAUGUAAUGUGAAGCAAUUGAGAAAAAUGAAAACAUAAAAGAAUAGAUUAGUGCUAGCAUGGAAGAGUUGUUUUCACUACAUAAAGUAAAGACUUGAAGUUAGGGGACUUCCAAGGUAAAUAGCCAUUGACUGCAUGUGGGUAUUCCAGGAAGCGAGCUUCAAUGAAGGAAAAAUUAUAGGACCAUAAGAUAUCAGUAACUAAGGGAUAUGCACAGAAAGAGGGAGUUGUAUACUUGAAUAUUCACAUCAAGACUAUAGCACUCCACUAGAUCGAGGCUAUCACCAGUGGGAUUGCUUGAUUUAGAGCAAAGAUGAGCAUUAUCCCAUUGGAAUGAUCUAAAUAUGUAAGCACACACCUGGUAUAGGACCUGGAAAAUUUCAAAGUGAUCUUCUUUACUGCAAUAAUGCUUUCUAUUGUCAUGUAAUUUUGCCUGAAUGCAUACUGUCUGAAUAAUACUUCGGAUCUUGAUGAUCCACCACCUUGAUUAUACACCAUCUUGCUGGGCCAAUCAUUACACUAUACUUCAUAUCCACAUAAUGUUGUUAGCAUUAUUAUUUCCUCAGUCUUUCUAUUAAUUGUAUUAUAUUUUCGUAUUUGGACUUAUCUUCCUUAUUUUGACUACAUAAUUAUUGGAUCCUGCAUUAUUUUGAUUGUCACCAACUUGAUUAUUUUUCUAUUACAGAUUUUAGAGAGCCGAACAGCACUUAUCAGCCAACUUGGAGAUUCAUGCCAGUCUGAGACAUCUGAUCAGACCCUUUUGUUUGAAUAUCUUGUUGUAUCCCGUGCAAUUUUCUACUUUUGUGGGUUGCCCUAUGCAGUGAAUCUAACGGAUUUAUG